GUUUUCGUAGUGUAGUGGUUAUCACAUUUGCCUCACACGCGAAAGGUCCCCGGUUCGAACCCGGGCGAAAACA
rnacentral:tRNA from 1 species